UCUGCGAUUUCUGCGACUUACCACCGUAUGAAAAAGUUACAUCUGUCAACACAGAAAAUUGCAUCUCAACAAACCUGUCAUUGGCAAGUACCUGACCUACAUUUCAGUCACUCAGUAAAGUGAUAACUCAAAAUAUCAUUGUCAACAGAUCUGAAGAAAUUGCCACUGCGUCUUUAGACCAUUUUCGUCAGACGAGAGACACAGUUCUGACUCUGAUUACUGGUUGCUGUACGUAUCUAUCCACAUCAAGGCUGUUUUUGAGAGAGACUCA